rnacentral:rRNA from 1 species
CGUAGCCGGUCCAGCAAGUCUCCCCUCAAAUCCCACGGCCCAACCGUGGGGCUGGGGGAGAUACUGCUGGGCUAGGGGGCGGGAGAGGCCGAGGGUACUCCCGGGGUAGGGGCGAAAUCCUAUAAUCCCGGGAGGACCACCAGUGGCGAAGGCGCUCGGCCAGAACGCGCCCGACGGUGAGGGACGAAAGCUGGGGGAGCAAAGGGGAUUAGAUACCCCCGUAGUCCCAGCUGUAAACGAUGCGGGCUAGGUGUUGGGCGGACUUCGAGUCCGCCCAGUGCCGCAGGGAAACCAUUAAGCCCGCCGCCUGGGGAGUACGGCCGCAAGGCUGAAACUUAAAGGAAUUGGCGGGGGAGCACCACAAGGGGUGAAUGCUGCGGUUUAAUUGGAGUCAACGCCGGGAACCUUACCGGGGGCGACAGCAGGAUGACGGCCAGGCUGACGACCUUGCCAGACGCGCUGAGAGGAGGUACAUCGCCGUCGCCAGUUCGUGCCGUGAGGUGUCCGGUUAAGUUCGGCAACGAACGAGACCCCCACCCCCAGUUGCUACCGCGUCCCUGCGGGGGCGCGGGCACUCUGGGGGGACUGCCGGCGCUGAGCCGGAGGAAGGAGGGGGCCACGGCAGGUCAGCAUGCCCCGAAACCCCCGGGCUACACGCGGCAUGCAAUGGUGGGGACAAUGGGUUCCGACCCCGAAAGGGGGAGGCAAUCCCAUAAACCCCACCUCAGUUGGGAUUGAGGGCUGCAACUCGCCCUCACGAACAUGGAAUCCCUAGU